GGGCAACUACGUGGGCAAUGAGUGAAAAAACACUCGUCCCAACCAAACAAAAGACUCCAGCAGAAGCCGAAGGACAGUAGGUAGCGGAGCAGAAGAAGUGUACCGUACCAAACGGACACAAAUACAUUACUACAUGGGCGAAGAGUGACAAAACCUCGUCCCAACAAAACAAAAGACUCCCGCAGGUACCGAAUGACAGUAGGUAUAAGGGAGCAGAAGAGAUGUACCAAACGGACACAAAUACAAUACAAAACAAAACGUUGAACGACGGAAAGAAGAAAACAAUGUAACACAGAAAGAUUAUAACAAUAACUCUGAAAAAAGAAGAGAAACAUACAGAAACAAAACUGCAACAGUACUAACGCCAAGGAAAACGUGACAAAACCAACGCAAAA
rnacentral:lncRNA from 1 species